rnacentral:lncRNA from 1 species
CGCCGCUCCGCCCGCACCGGCGGCGCCGCCGGCAGCGCCUCGCUUAUGCCGAGUGUGCUCCGCUCGGUGCUUCACCCGCACCGGGCACCGCGUGUGCUCCGCUCGGUGCUUCACCCGCACCGGGCACCGCGCCUCGCCCGCACCGCGGGGAGUGUAGCAACCGCACCGGGAAGAGCGGGACACCUGCACUGGGCGCAGCGCAGCACCCGCACCGGGAGCCCUCCCCUCAGGGCUUCACCCCGCUCAUAUCGCACCUCAGCACCUCACCCGGUCCAGGGAGAGCGGAUCGCCCGCACCGUGGGGAGAGGAUCGCCCGCACCGGGUGUUCUCCCCUCAGCGCCUCGCCUCAUCCCUCAGGGAUUGCUCCCCUCAGCCCCUCGCUGCGGGACGCUCCCCUCAGGGCCUCACCUCACUCCCCUGGCACCGCCCCAGGGUCUCACCCUCAUGCAAUGGCUGCUCCCUCAGCCCCUUCACCUCCUGCCACCCUUAGCCUGGACCGAGAGCUGCCCCCUCAGUGCUGUUCUCCUGAGUUUCCCUCUCAACUCUCUUGCCUUGGUUUACUGGGCCACUCUGAAACUCCCCAUUUCCCUCCAGGAAAAUUUCCCUCUUGGUGCCUCACGUCCCCCUCAUGGUUGUUUCUCCUCUCCCUCACCUCUGCUCACCCCUAUUUUGUCUGUCCCCUCACAGAAUGAUUUCCCUUUCUCCCUUCCCCUUGUCCCACUCCAUCACAGGAAUCCUGUCACCUCUCCAGGAGCUUUCCCCAGAGGACUCGUGAGCAGGCAGACAUUACAGAGAGAAGAAUGGCUGCAGAUGGACCCUGAUCCUCCUGUGGGAGCCCUGGGAGGACUCAGAAGAGAGGGAAUGCUGAGAUUGGAAGAUUUUAUGGCAGUUCUCCUGUCCUGUUUCCAAGGCCUCCUGGACUGCUUUAUCCCAGAGGAAUGUGGCUGCCACAGCAGCUCCCAGAUGAAGAAUCCGUGUUUGAGAUGGCUGUGGAUUCAAUCCACUGCCUUGGGAUGCAAGCCAAGGCCUUUUAUUGGAAUGAGGAGCUGACUCAGAGCCAGGAGAGGCCAGUGAAGCUCUGGAAGCUUCCACAGCAGUAGCCUUUUCUGGAAGUACCUAAAUGCUGCCCAUCAGUGAGGAAGAGUGGUUGGGAACUGAGCAGAUCCCUGAGUGCUUGGCCUGAAUUUCUGAAUCUUCAAUGUCUCAGAAGACUCAUUAUUACUAUCCAAAAAUAG